UACACUGCGACGGUGAUCCAACUUAGGACGAGAGAAAGGUCGGAUACUUGGUAAAUGGGGCUAGCUGACCAGCUAGUGCCGCGACGCUACCGUCCGUUGGAUUAUGACUGAACGCCUCAAAGUCAGAAUCCAUGCUGGAUAUGCAGUGUUAUUCACCGCCUCCUCUCUUUCAUGCAAUGAUACAGGCAUUUGGCCCUGCUUCUCAUCAAAGCCCGUCGCUUCAUGCUUUUGGGCGAGAAUCUCAAUUUCUAACAUUGGAGGUGAUACAUACAUUGCAGACGACUUUGCUGUGCAAAUGCGGCGUGUGCACAUCACUGGUAGCCUGGGGGCGUUACAUCAGCCGCUGCUUGUUGAAGGU
rnacentral:ncRNA from 1 species